AUACGGAGGGUGCAAGCGUUACUCGGAAUCACUGGGCGUAAAGCGCGCGCAGGCGGCUAUUUAAGUUGGAUGUGAAAGCCUAUGGCUCAACCAUAGAACUGCAUCCAAAACUAUUUAGCUAGAGUGUGGGAGAGGAUGAUGGAAUUAGUUGUGUAGAGGUAAAAUCCGUAGAGAUAACUAGGAAUACCAAAAGCGAAGGCAAUCUUCUGGAACACUACUGACGCUGAGGCGCGAAAGCGUGGGGAGCAAACAGGAUUAGAUACCCUUGUAGUCC
rnacentral:rRNA from 1 species